UACGGAGGGUGCAAGCGUUGUCCGGAUUUAUUGGGUUUAAAGGGUGCGUAGGCGGCUGUUUAAGUCAGCGGUGAAAGACUCCGGCUCAACCGGGGCAGUGCCGUUGAUACUGGACAGCUUGAGUGCUGCAGGGGUACAUGGAAUUGAUGAUGUAGCGGUGAAAUGCAUAGAUAUCAUCAGGAACACCGAUAGCGAAGGCAUUGUACUGGGCAGCAACUGACGCUGAGGCACGAAAGCGUGGGGAGCAAACAGG
rnacentral:rRNA from 1 species